rfam:Musca domestica strain aabys unplaced genomic scaffold Scaffold4, whole genome shotgun sequence.
AUAUAGGUGUUAUUAGACACCACAACAAUUUUGACAGAACUUUAUUU